rnacentral:rRNA from 1 species
CCUACGGGUGGCAGCAGUGGGGAAUAUUGCACAAUGGGGGAAACCCUGAUGCAGCGACGCCGCGUGAGUGAAGAAGUAUUUCGGUAUGUAAAGCUCUAUCAGCAGGGAAGAAAAUGACGGUACCUGAUUAAGAAGCCCCGGCUAACUACGUGCCAGCAGCCGCGGUAAUACGUAGGGGGCAAGCGUUAUCCGGAUUUACUGGGUGUAAAGGGAGCGUCGACGGUGAUGUAAGUCUGGAGUGAAAGCCCGGGGCUCAACCCCGGGACUGCUUUGGAAACUGUGUAACUGGAGUACAGGAGGGGUAGGCGGAAUUCCUGGUGUAGCGGUGAAAUGCGUAGAUAUUAGGAGGAACACCAGCGGCGAAGGCGGCCUGCUGGACUGAAACUGACGUUGAGGCUCGAAAGCGUGGGGAGCAAACAGGAUUAGAUACCCCAGUAGUC